UCUCCCUUCUCCCUCACGCACUGCCCUCUCCGGCGAUUCCUCUCCCGGCGACGUCGAGCCACCGCACAGUGGGCAUUCCGAUCGCGUUGACGCAUCUCAGCCCAACGCCGGCCGAGUCUCCUUUCUUCCUCCUUCUCCCUCUCGAUGCAUGGAGUGUUUCUCCUCUUCCUCUCUCGCCCGCGGACGACUCGACGCCAACGGCUUCCCCAGCGAUCUCGGCUUCGACACAACGAUCUCCUCUUUGGCUGUGCUGGCACACGAGGCAAUGACUCGGCGGAGCUAGGGCAUGGCGGGGAGAGGUUGAUUCGUGUCUUUUCCAGCCGAUCGAGCUUCUUUUGCUCUCCUCUUCGAUCUACUUGCUGGGGGUGAACUGGAUCAUCAUCAGUGGAAGUGGAUCGCACGACACCAGCUGUAGGGAUUGAUUGAGGAGGAUGCUUCGGAUAAACCUAGUGAUGGAUCUUCCUUGAGUAGAACUUCAUCUCCUUCAUUCUUGCGGCUGCUAGGGGCUUGGGGUGAAGAGGUGGAGAGCUAUGAAGCUUCUCAGCAGGGAGUUGUAGGGUUGCUGAGCUACUGGAGUUGCUGCCAUGGUUCAAGGACUUGGAUUCGGGACGAGCGUCUCAACGUGGGAUUUUCGGACACGAGCUACGUAUUA